AAUAAUUUUUGUUGUACUCAGUUCAUGAAACCUUUCCAUAUCACAUACCAAAAGUCCAUGAAAAUCCAAGUGGUGGAACAUUCAACAACAUUGAAAUAAUUUGUGCCUAGG